ACAGUGAUGCAGUUCCAUUAGGUACUCGUACAAAAACCCUGGACACUUCUACAAACCGGCUUCACACUUUUCUUGGAAUUGCACAUCAUUCUGGAUUUGAGCAAUGUUUCAUUUACAUUUUUGGGAAUACACCAUGUUUAUUCUUUUGUACUCCUUAUAUUUUAAAGAACUUUACUUGGGCUGGAUUAUGAAACCUGCAACCCGAGAUCUUCAUGGGUAUCCACCGUUAACUAAACAGACACGGGCAUUAUGAUUGGAAUAUACCAGCAUAGUGAUUCUUUUAGAUUCCAUUUACACAAAGUGAAAAUGUAUAAAAGAAAAAAUACAUAUUUGAGGGAUAAUAGAGCACACAGUACCAAGCUUAUUCAAAUUAGCUUGAAAACGGGUUUCCAGGCGCUUGUGUUAACUUGCUAUUUUACCAUACAAUUUAAAAUACGGUUCUUGCUAUGGAAUUUAACAAAGUGGAGCAGCGGAUAAGCUUAUCUUUGGAAGUGGGACCACUCUCACCGUGUUACCAACAAAAGAUACAAAACCCAGUAAACCUUCCCUGUCUGUAUUCACCCCUCCAAAGAAAGGGGAUCCAGCAGCAUGUGUGGCCACUGGAUUCUUUCCAAAUGAUGUGAACAUUUCCAUGAGUGUUGGUCACGGAGCCCCAAAAGUUACAGCCUCGAUUGAUAAAGCUGUGCUGUCCAUGACUGAUAAAACCUACAACUUUGCUGCCUUCUUGACUGUCGAUGAGGGAAACGAUCAGGAAGUCACGUGUAAAGCAAAUGAAAAGAUAAAAAAAUCCAUCAAGAACGAUAAAUCAGCUGAUGAACCAGCUCCUAUGUCCCCUGCCCUAAACUGUACAACAAAUGGCACAUCCACUGAUGGCGUGACUAUUGAAAGCAUACAUCUCAAUUUCAAGUCCCUGACUCUGCAAGGUUUGAGAGUGAUGUUUGUUAAAACUGUGGCCUUCAAUUUUCUGAUGACGGUCCGAGCCUUGAUGUUCUGAUGUCUGGGACUGAGAUACAGAUGACCGGAAAGCACAGAGGGAGCUGUUGGAAAUUGAAAUCACUUUGAAAUUGCAUUGCUUCUAGUUAUGCUUUUGAAAAAUAUUUGCAAGUUAGGUUGCUUGGGUGUAAAAUUUGAAGUAAAAAAUGCUUUAACAGAGAAAUAAUGUGUUUUAUUAACUUAUCCUAUUAGUUUUUUGGUUAAAGCUUGUGGCUAUAAGAUUUGCUGCAAUAGAAAGUUUGUCUUAAUUUUUGUUACUAAUAAUAAUAAUAAUAAUAAUAAUAAUAAUAAUAAUAAUAAUAAUAAUAAUAUGGUCCAUUUUGUUAACCGGGCAAUAAUUACUAGUAAGAAUGAUUGCUAUGGGAUACAAUCUUUAACAUUUACUACUGGGAAGCAAAGAAAAUUGAAGGUACAAACUCUCAUGAAAACCAUUAUAUUUUAUAUACACUUUUAUAGUUUUCUUUUCUAUUAAGUUCAACAAUAGCUUUUUAAUAGUAUCAUUAAAUACAUGUUUGUAGUAUUAUAUAUUUAUUUUCAAAUAAUGUUGAAUAAGAAAGGUAAAACUGAAAGCGAUUAGAUAUUUUAGUUCCAUUAAAUAAUAUUGCUGAAUACUUGUUUAAUUUAAAAUAUGUUUUUGUUUUAGUAUUUUAGAUGCAUAUUUUAUUACAGCUCUAAACACGUCUUUGACAAGACUAAAUGCUUAUUAUAGCAAUGAAUGCUUCAAUAAAGUGCA